rnacentral:rRNA from 1 species
AUUGAACGCUGGCGGCAGGCCUAACACAUGCAAGUCGAACGAGUGGCGGACGGGUGAGUAAUGUCUGGGCAACUGACUGAUCGAGGGGGCUAACUACUGGAACCGGUAGCUAAUACCGCAUACCAUCGGAUGUGCCCAGAUGGGAUUAGCUAGUAGGUGGGGUAAAGGCUCACCUAGGCGACGAUCCCUAGCUGGUCUGAGAGGAUGACCAGCCACACUGGAACUGAGACACGGUCCAGACUCCUACGGGAGGCAGCAGUGGGGAAGAUUGCACAAUGGGCGCAAGCCUGAUGCAGCCAUGCCGCGUGUAUGAAGAAGGCCGUCGGUUUGUAAAGUACUGUCAGCGGGGAGGCGUUACCCGCAGAAGAAGCACCGGCUAACUCCGUGCCAGCAGCCGCGGUAAUUC